rnacentral:rRNA from 1 species
GAUGAACGCUGGCGGCGUGCCUAAUACAUGCAAGUCGAGCGAACAGACGAGGAGCUUGCUCCUCUGACGUUAGCGGCGGACGGGUGAGUAACACGUGGAUAACCUACCUAUAAGACUGGGAUAACUUCGGGAAACCGGAGCUAAUACCGGAUAAUAUAUUGAACCGCAUGGUUCAAUAGUGAAAGACGGUUUUGCUGUCCCUUAUAGAUGGAUCCGCGCCGCAUUAGCUAGUUGGUAAGGUAACGGCCUACCAAGGCAACGAUGCGUAGCCGACCUGAGAGGGUGAUCGGCCACACUGGAACUGAGACACGGUCCAGACUCCUACGGGAGGCAGCAGUAGGGAAUCUUCCGCAAUGGGCGAAAGCCUGACGGAGCAACGCCGCGUGAGUGAUGAAGGUCUUCGGAUCGUAAAACUCUGUUAUUAGGGAAGAACAAAUGUGUAAGUAACUAUGCACGUCUUGACGGUACCUAAUCAGAAAGCCACGGCUAACUACGUG